UAAGUAAGUGGUGGAAAUUAAACCAACUGGGAUCUCUUCAGUAAUUGCGCAUGAACCAGGAUAUGCUUAGCUUGACAAAUGGAGCUGCUGGCUCUGAAUUGUAUUGUGGGAAUGUAUUACCAACAGAGGUGCAGGUGUCAGCCAUUUGAAAGAAAGCGACAAUGAGGGUGAGAAGCCUGUUUGUCAUGUGCAGCCUUCUGUGCACGGUGUAUAUUUGCUGAGUCACACUCCUUGGCAUUGGAAUGCAAAGUGGGUGGUAAGUUUCAUGCAAAGGUAAAUAUGCAAUUGAGACUGAUAGCGCACAAUACCAUGAGGGACAUAUGAAAAGGACUUUGAACAGAGAAUUAAAUGAGUUUGUAUUUGCUAAACACAAAGUAAACAGACUUGAUUUCCUCAGUGAGAUUGUAGUGCUUGCUUAACAAUGGGUUUUGGCUGCAAGUGCAAUAAUUCUUGCUUUGUGUGCCCGUUUUUAUGUGGACAUUUGAUUACCUUUGCACAUGAAUGGUAAUUUUCUGCGGGGUGUGGAUUGCAUAUGCAUGUAAUGAUUUGCAUGUUUGUUAAAUGUGUCUGGUGUAUUUGUUUGUGCCCUUGUCCUUGGAGUUGCUUUCUCCCUUGGGCUUACAUGCCCUGGCACACACAUUCUGGCAAAAUGCUUCUGCUUGACCCG
rnacentral:rRNA from 1 species